rnacentral:misc_RNA from 1 species
GUCUGGUCGGAUUAUACAGUUCUCUGAGAAACCGACGGGUUCCGAUUUGGAAGCGAUGAAAGCUGACACCACAUCUCUACGACUAUCUUAUCAAGAAGCAAAAAAAUAUCCAUAUAUUGCAUCAAUGGGAGUUUAUGUCUUUAGAAGGGAUGUUCUUCUAAAGCUUCUGAAGUGGAGCUAUCCCAAAUCGAAUGACUUUGGAUCAGAGAUCCUUCCAUCAGCCGUAAAGGAGCACAAUGUUCAGGCAUACAUAUUUAAUGAUUACUGGGAGGACAUCGGAAAACUUAAUUCUUUCUUUAAUGCAAAUUUGGCGCUUACUGACCAGCCACCUAAAUUCGAGUUUUAUGAUCCAAAGACGCCUUUCUUUACAUCACCUCGCUUUUUACCUCCAACCAAAGUUGAAAAAUGCAGGAUAUUGAAUGCGAUUAUAUCGCAUGGGUGCUUCUUGCGUGAAUGUGGU